GCCUGGCCUGCUCAGUCGGUAGAGCAUGAGACUCCUAAUCUCAAGGUCAUGGGUUCGUGUCCCAUGUUGGGCG
rfam:Mesitornis unicolor contig101604, whole genome shotgun sequence.